AUUGAACGCUGGCGGCAUGCUUUACACAUGCAAGUCGAACGGCAGCGCGGGCUUCGGCCUGGCGGCGAGUGGCGAACGGGUGAGUAAUGCAUCGGAACGUGCCCAGUAGUGGGGGAUAGCCCGGCGAAAGCCGGAUUAAUACCGCAUACGACCUGAGGGUGAAAGCGGGGGACCGAAAGGCCUCGCGCUAUUGGAGCGGCCGAUGUCGGAUUAGCUAGUUGGUGGGGUAAAGGCUUACCAAGGCGACGAUCCGUAGCUGGUCUGAGAGGACGACCAGCCAACCGGGGACUGGGAACCGCCCCAGACCCCUCGGGGGGGCCGCGGGGGGGAAUUUUGGAAAAGGGGGGCAACCCUGCACCAGCCAUGCCGGGGGGGGGAAGAAGGCCUUCGGGUGGUAAACCGUUUUUUUUCGGAAAAAAAUCCUCUGGGCUAAUACCCCGGGGGGAUGACGGUACCGGAAAAAUAAGCACCGGCUACCUGCGU
rnacentral:rRNA from 1 species